AAAAAUGGUAGCUUGAUAGAUGGAAAACGGUGUCUUUAAUUUAUGUUGUAGCAGAUUCAUAUCAGUGCUCUAAACAAACAUGUACUGUGUUGUAGGAGGAAAGGAAUGAAAUGGAAAGGCCAACUUUGAAGUCCCAAACAACAUAAUAUUAUAGCCACUACUUCAAAGUCCCAACUCCAAACAUCAGUGAACUUUGGAUGAAAGAAAAAC
rnacentral:lncRNA from 1 species